UGAACAACCUCCUGCUGAUCAUUUUCACCAGAAAUUUGAAACCAUUCAUCAAAGGUUUCAGCUGAGCUAAAAAUUUCUGGCAGUAAAAAGUUCAGAAGAGACCAGAGUUCAUGAAGAUUGUUCUGAAGAGGAGUACCAGUAAUGAGGAGACGGUAAUUGGUAUUAUAAAGUCUCAUUGUUUUUGAAAGAAGAGAAUUUUCAUUCUUAAUUCGAUGGGCCUCAUCUAUGAUUAUGUAGCGCCAGCUAAAGCGACGCAAGGCUGACUUCUCUUUGAUGGCCAUUUCAAAACUUGUAACACACACAUCAAA
rnacentral:misc_RNA from 1 species